rnacentral:rRNA from 1 species
CCUACGGGUGGCAGCAGUGAGGACUAUUGGUCAAUGGACGAGAGUCUGAACCAGCCAAGUAGCGUGAAGGAUGACUGCCCUAUGGGUUGUAAACUUCUUUUAUAAAGGAAUAAAACGAGGCACGUGUGCCUUUUUGCAUGUACUUUAUGAAUAAGGAUCGGCUAACUCCGUGCCAGCAGCCGCGGUCAUACGGAGGAUCCGAGCGUUAUCCGGAUUGAUUGGGUUUAAAGGGAGCGUAGAUGGGUUGUUAAGUCAGUUGUGAAAGUUUGCGGCUCAACCGUAAAAGUGCAAUUGAUACUGGUAGUCUUGAGUACAGGUGAGGUAGGCGGAAUUCGUGGUGUAGCGGUGAAAGGCUUAGAUAUCACGAAGAACCCCGAUUGCGAAGGCAGCUUACUAAACUGUGACUGACAUUGAUGCUCGAAAGUGUGGGUAUCAAACAGGAUUAGAUACCCGAGUAGUC